rnacentral:lncRNA from 1 species
UGCCGUUGUGUGCUCUUUGGUUGACGACGUCGUCGCCGUAGUCCAUUUAUUACCACUGCCAUGCUUCUUGAUUGCCAUCCCCGUCACCGUUGUCGUUGUCUCCACACCAGUAUUCAAGUUGUGCUAUGUCGAUUGUUAUUGUGCUCUAUUUUUCUUGUCGUCAUUACAUUGUCUCCUGCACCGUGGUUGACAUCAUUUCAUUUAUAGGAUGAAUAUUGAGUCGUCUGUCCAUUGUCCAUGGUUAGAAGAGCAACCUCAAACUAACAGUUAACAACUCUUUAAAUUUGCUUAUGUAUAAUUAACUUGUCAUAGUUUGACAUUAGGUGAUAGAAUUAUUUUAAGUUGCAUGAGCUUUUU